rnacentral:misc_RNA from 1 species
AACCUUAUGGACCUGCGGGCGUAUACCUGCGGAAGGAUCAUUACCGAGUUUACAAACUCCCAACCCUUUGUGAACCUUACCAUAUUGUUGCUUCGGCGGGACCGCCCCGGCGCCUUCGGGCCCGGAACCAGGCGCCCGCCGGAGGCCCCAAACUCUUAUGUCUUUAGUGGUUUUCUCCUCUGAGUGACACAUAAACAAAUAAAUAAAAACUUUUAGCAACGGAUCUCAGAUCGGAAGAGC